UAUGUUAAAAGUAGAGGUAGUGAAAUAACAUUUUGUAGAUAUCCUUUUGUUAAAAUUCAUAUGAAAUAUUGCCUUUUAGAAAUGGAAUAAUCAAACCACCUCUUUGAGCAGUGCACAUUAUUUUAUUUGUGCUGGUUCAAGGAGGAAGAAAAAAGUACAAAGGGCUUUAUACCAAUAUGUUUAUAGUUAGGAGAGAUUAACCAUCGUCCUGUAUGUCUGUGUUUUGCUUUACUUAGUUGUGUAUAUAGUGUACAUAAAGGACAGAUGUCCAAAUUUACAUCUAGUCUUCCUAGAUGUUAAAGAGGUUGCCAAUGUAUGACAAAAGUAGUUAGAAAAUAAAUACAUUGUGAAUACUUUGUUAAAAUUCAUACGAAAAAUUGUUCUGAAAGCAACUGGAGGAGAUGAAAUUGUUAGAAUCCCCUCUAAGCAUUUCAGAUGCUUUAUUACACUUGCUUACUAGGUUGAUAGAGAUGAGAAGGGGAAGGGUUCUAGGCCCGUGUUCCUGUUUAGAAGACACUUUGAGAUUAUAGCCUUUGUGUGCAGUUUAUUCAAUACUACAUGUAUGUAUAGUAAACUAAAAUCCUUAUUUGAAACAUCUAGUCUUUCUAGAUGUUUAAAAGUGUACAACAUAUGCUAAAAGUAGAUAAUUAACACCUUUUAAGAUUUUUUUCUGUUAAUUCAUAGGAAUGGUCAUAUUUGGGGAAUGGGAUUGUUAAACUUGAGCCUUGGAGAGUAUGCUGACUGAUGACUGGGGUGGUGGCGGUUGGGGGGGACAGGGAAGGAAGCUCAGAGAAGGGUUCUGUGCUCAUGAGUCUUUAGAAAGCUUCAGAUUUUCUAACCAUUGUUCUGUUUGUGUGUUUGAGUUAAUAUUGCUGUGUAUUAAAGAAUAAACAAGUCCCAGUGUCCAAAGUAUAUUGAAAGUAGAAGUAGUAAAAUAAUUCCUUUAUAAAUGCCCUUUUGUGGGUUUUUAGGAAGGGCUAUGACUUCUGGGAGUGUCUAUGUUAAUCCACCUUUUGUAGCUAGAUGUAGUCCUGUAGUUAGUCACUGAAAUGCUGGAAGAGGGUUAAGAGGAAGGGUGAAGGGAAGGGCUCUUGGCUAUUAUCUCCAUAUCUAGACAGUUUUAGUUUAUAACCAUAGGUCUAUAUGUGCAUUUUUGUAAAGUUUCUGUUUAUUGUGGACAAGGUUCAUUCUUUAUCUUGCAACAUCUAUGUCUCAAGAUAACAUAUGAUAAAAAGUAGAGUUAGUGAGUUAACUAAUUUGUAAAUAAAUAUCUUUGUUACAAUGAUAUAAAACAGCAUCUUGGACAUGAAUUGUUAAAGUCUCAGAAAUGUAUGUCAGGACUUGUUCACUAGGUUGGCAGCAGAGGGGCAGAAGGAAAGUAUAAAGGGAGGGUUGUAUGCGAAUGUGUUCAUAUUUAUAUUUUGGUGAUAACCAUUGAUGUGGGUGCAUCUUUUGGCUGUAAUAUAAGCAAUUCAGUGGAAACAUACCUCCUUGCUAAUAUUUUAAUAGUUUGGAUAAUUAGUCCUCUUAGAGGCAUUAUACUUUAUGUACUCUGUUGCUUUAUGUGUCAUUUUUAAUUGAACAUAAGGGAAUGUAGUAUUUUAAUCAUAACUCUACCAAUAUCUUUAUCUUGAAGCCUGUUGCUAUUUUUGUCUUUUAUGUAAUUUUAUCGCUAAGAAAGGCAGGAUUACAUUUUUUUUCCUUCCAGAUCGAGUUGGUGUAGUAUAUUCUUGGUUAUCAAAAUAAAAUACUCAUAUAGCUUUGGGACUUUGAAAUGGUAAAUAUUCAUGAUGUGUGAAAAAGCAUGAUACAUAACUAUGAUCUUAAUUACAUAAAAAUGGAUGCUUCAUUGUGUAGAUACACAAACGAAAUCUAGAAGGACAUAUCAACCUGUAAACUGCUUGAUUAUGGAUGACUUUGUUUUUUGCUUCCUAUUUGCUUGUGUUUUUCAGUUUCCUAUUAUGCACAUGUUAACUUUUAAGAAAUAAAUUUUA
rnacentral:lncRNA from 1 species